CAGUCGCCGCGGUAAAACGUAGGUCCCGAGCGUUGUCCGGAUUUAUUGGGCGUAAAGCGAGCGCAGGCGGUUAGAUAAGUCUGAAGUUAAAGGCUGUGGCUUAACCAUAGUACGCUUUGGAAACUGUUUAACUUGAGUGCAAGAGGGGAGAGUGGAAUUCCAUGUCUAGCGGUGAAAUGCGUAGAUAUAUGGAGGAACACCGGUGGCGAAAGCGGCUCUCUGGCUUGUAACUGACGCUGAGGCUCGAAAGCGUGGGGAGCAAACAGGAUUAGAUACCCCUGUAGUCCCUGUCUCUUAUACA
rnacentral:rRNA from 1 species